GAUGAAGAACGUAGCGAAAUGCGAUAAGUAGUGUGAAUUGCAGACUUUAGUGAAUCAUCGAAUCUUUGAACGCACAUUGCGCCCCCUGGUAUUCCGGGGGGCAUGCCUGUCCGAGCGUCAUUACAACCCUCAAGCUCAGCUUGGUGUUGGGCCCCGCCGCCCCGGCGGGCCCUAAAGUCAGUGGCGGUGCCGUCCGGCUCCGAGCGUAGUAAUUCUUCUCGCUCUGGAGGUCCGGUCGUGUGCUCGCCAGCAACCCCCAAUUUUUUUCAGGUUGACCUCGGAUCAGGUAGGGAUACCCGCUGAACUUAAGCAUAUCAAUAAGCGGAGGA
rnacentral:misc_RNA from 1 species